ACUCAAAGGAAUUGACGGGGACCCGCACAAGCGGUGGAGCAUGUGGUUUAAUUCGAGGCAACGCGAAGAACCUUACCAGGCCUUGACAUGUCCAGUUUGGAUCGCAGAGAUGCUUUCCUUCAGUUCGGCUGGCUGGAACACAGGUGCUGCAUGGCUGUCGUCAGCUCGUGUCGUGAGAUGUUGGGUUAAGUCCCGCAACGAGCGCAACCCUCAUCUUUAGUUGCUACCAUUUAGUUGAGCACUCUAAAGAAACUGCCGGUGAUAAGCCGGAGGAAGGUGGGGAUGACGUCAAGUCUUCAUGGCCCUUAUGGCCUGGGCUACACACGUGCUACAAUGGCGGCUACAGUGCGUCGCUACCUUGCAAGAGGAAGCUAAUCGCAAAAAGCCGUCUCAGUUCAGAUUGUACUCUGCAACUCGAGUACAUGAAGUUGGAAUCGCUAGUAAUCGUGGAUCAGCAUGCCACGGUGAAUACGUUCCCGGGUCUUGCACACACCGCCCGU
rnacentral:rRNA from 1 species